rnacentral:rRNA from 1 species
GACGAACGCUGGCGGCGUGCUUAACACAUGCAAGUCGAACGAGUGGGAACGGGUGAGUAACACGUGGGUAACCUCCCAUCAGAGGGGAUAACACUUGGAAACAGGUGCUAAACCGAUACUGAUGGAUGGACCCGCGGUGCAUUAGCUAGUUGGUGAGGUAACGGCUCACCAAGGCCACGAUGCAUAGCCGACCUGAGGUGGGGACGGGCCAAACGGGGCCUGAGAACCGGCCCAGACUCCGACGGGAGGCAGAAGUAGGAAAUCUUCGGAAAUGGACGAAAGUCUGACCGAGCACCGCGGCGGGAGUGAAGAAGGUUUUCGGAUCGUAAAACUCGGUUGUUAGAGAAGCGGUAUCUAACCAGAAAGCCACGUCUAACUACGUGCCAGCAGCCGCGGUAAUUC